ACUCAACACAUAAUUCUUUAAAAAAGGUGAGUCGUGGUUGUAAAAGCAAGCCGAACGUAUGAGUCGGAUCCUUGAUCAGCCAGUUAGCCUUAAACUUUAUUUAAGGAGUUC
rfam:Nonlabens dokdonensis DSW-6, complete genome.